rnacentral:rRNA from 1 species
ACUACGGGUGGCAGCUGUAGGGAAUUUUGCGCAAUGGGCGAAAGCCUGACGCAGCAACGCCGCGUGAUCGAGACGCCCUUCGGGGUGUAAAGAUCUGUCAGUGGGGACGAAACUUGACGGUACCCACAGAGGAAGCACCGGCUAACUCCGUGCCAGCAGCCGCGGUAAUACGGGGGGUGCAAGCGUUUACCGGAAUCAUUGGGCGUAACGAGUUCGUAGGCGGCACGUAAAGUCUGGAGUGAAAGGCAGAGGCUAAACUUCUGUACGGCCCUGGAUACUUGCGAGCUAGAAUGCGGUAGAGGUAAAGGGAAUUCCGGGUGUAGCGGUGAAAUGCUUAGAUAUCAGGAGGAACAUCGGUGGCGUAAGCGCUUUACUGGGCCGUAAUUGACGCUGAGGUACGAAAGCCAGGGUAGCAAAUGGGAUUAGAUACCCUUGUAGUC